UUCCAUGACAGACCAAGGAAUUAAAUCAUGGUGUCAAAGUUCUAAGUCCAACUGCUAACUCCUCAGAUGAACUGUUUCUCCUAUUUCUAUGAAAGGCAUACAUUCUGUGCUGAUUUAUUCCAUCUCAGAGGACAUCCCUGCUAAUCAGACUCAUGAUACUUAGUAGGAUAGAUAUUUCAUAUUUCUUCGCAUUCAGCCUUUCCAUUUAUCAAGAAGGCUAAUGGAAGAAUUUCCCAUCCAGCAAAUCCAGUAUACAGGUUCUCAGGAUGACUCCGUAUUUACUUCUGACGUGAGAUUACCAUAGAUUCACCUGGAGAUGAUCUUGGAUUUGUUCCUUUAACAUCGACUUUUAGUGCAGUCUUGAUUUUUGUGUUAAUGAAUGGAGAAGAUGACAUCAGGCUGUUAGACAAUAAUGACUUCAACCUGGAAAAAGGCUUACGGCUCAGACAAAACUAGCCUAAAUCUAACCUUCAGUUUGGAGUCUUGGAUAAUGAGGUCCUUUUUUGAGAGAACAUCAUGGACUUUUCACAGAAGCUGAGAAGGGCCACGGGGGCAGGCCGAGCACAGUCGGGCAGCUGGAAGAGUCCCCCUCGAUCACCAUGUUCCUUCAGACAAAAAAGGACCAACUCUAGAAAUUGUAUUCAAGGUCACCAUCUUGGGAUUAUCGGAUGUCUACUCAAUGACAGUACUGUAAGACUACAACAAUAGAACUCGACUGUUCAAACUUCUCAGAGCCUUUUUCAGGUAGACGGUUAUAACUUUAGAUCAUUUGAACUGGUGGUGUUCAAAGCAAUCUAAAAUUAAUCUAGACAGCUGGCUUCAUCUGUGAUUUAUGCCAGGUGUAUGCUUAGUGUCAGAAUCACUCCAAAGGAAUAUUUAAGCAGUCCUCACAUAAAAAGUAGGCACAGAGGAAGAGGAAAUGAACGCAGCGCUCCCCCCACAAUGAAUCACUGUUGUCAUCUAUGAAGGAUCAAUACAGCACAUUGUUAUUCAGCAUCCCCCACCCCCAUUUCUACUCUUCUUGAAAAGUUCCAUGGCAUACUUGCACAGCCCAGCAAGCUCCUUCACAAUAAAGGUCUUUCAAUGCUAAACAUCACCUAAUAUAUGGUGAGCUCAACACCUUUCCUCCCAACUUGUCUCAGGAGACAAUGAACUACAAAGUGAAGUACCUGUCAAGGCUUACAAUCCACUCAGAGACACCUCACACAUGACACCUUUCCCUACAAAGAAAUUAGUCUGGAAUAAAGUAGAAAGAACACAUUGACCGAAUGUGCCAAGAAUGCACAUUUUUGACAUGAUUAAAAAGUGUUAGGAAUCUGUUAUUUGCAAUAGCUUCCAAAAUAUAUACAUAGGUAUUUUUACACCCUAUGGUACACAGGUUAUUACACACACACACACAAACUAAGGGCAGCAGUGGAAAGAGGAGCUUAAUUGUGUAUUGAUCUCUGGCAAAUAAUCACUGUUCACAACAUUUCCCAAUACCAUAGGUAUAAAAGUAUCAUCCCAUUUCUCUCUACAAUGCCAUAGGCAAUAUCACAGGCACAGAAACAUUGUCAGAUUCUGAGAUUCUCAGCAAAGGUAUCAUUGCAUGCCCUAGUAUCAUGUGAAAAUAUAUUGAUAAAUCCACAAGGCUUUCUUGCAGUGUCACUUCAGUUGAGGACUUCUCUCUCAAGUACUGGCAGGCUGGUUCCAUCCCUUCAGUGUCUCUGGUGGGCAAGAAUGACUACAUUCUUUCACAUGGUCUUCAGUCCUUCAAUUCAGAAUUGGCUUUAAGGGAUUUUUUGACUAGCACUGUGUGUGUGUUUAAUCUAAUUUUACAAAGUCUUUAACUUUCACUGCCAAGGAUCCCAUAGUAGGGGUGUGAAAGAUGCCAAAAAACAUGCCAUUUUCAGUUCCAUUUUUGGCUGUCUCCCAUUCCAUUUACAGGGAAUUAUUGAAAUCAGGAGGGGUGGAUACUGUUCCAUGAUUUGGGAGCCAAAAGUUCUGUUUACAUUCCGGGAAGAUCUAGCCCUUUGGUGACAAUGGGGGAACUUGCGAGGCUUCUCUUUCCAUAAUUUUUAUAGGAUGAAAAUGGUCACACUUGGAGGACACAUUUAUGACUGCAAGACCCCCAAGUAUCAGAAUGUUUGGGUCAUCCAUUGAUUUUUAGGAAAUUUUAUAAGUUUCUCCAAAUAAAAUGUCUUUAAUGGUGCAGGCCAGAGUACAGAAAUCAGAAGGUAGGGCUGAGGAGGGGACUCAGGCGAGUUAGGCGAUGCCUCCCUUCCUUAAACCUAUCCCACACUCAGUCAAAUUAAAGCAAAAAAAAAAGGGUAUUUUUUUAAAAAACGAACACACAAAAUGCCCUUUUAAAACUCACAGCCCCUCCCCCAAUGUACGCCCACCCACAUCUCUCUAGCAAAAUUAGUAAAAUAAAAGAAGGACUAUAAGGAAGAUAUUAAUUAAGAAAAUUUAAUGAUAUAAUGCAGAAAAAAAUGACUGGAAUUAUCAAAAAGUGAUCCUAACCAGUGACGGCACUGAUCUCUCUCUCCCAAAUACCAGGAUGCCACAGAAAAAUGCAGGAGCACACCCUGGGAUAUAUAGAUCAGCUUUGCAAAAAGACACGUGAUCCACUUUCUUCUUCUGAUUGGCUCUGGCAAGGCUAACGGGGAAAAAAUCUGGCACCAUGUGAUCCAUUCCAGAUGAGACUUCAGCUGCCCCUGCCUAGUCCGUUUUUGGCAGUCCGGUGCCAGAUUGCCAAAUUUCCCUAAAUCCUGUCUCGCAAAAGAGAAUCGUGCACACCUUAAUCUCAUGGCAUUGAGCCAGAGCUGUCAAAGUGAUAUCAAACUGUUUCAAGAGGCAAAUAAUUGAAAUAAAUAACUAAACGAUGCAGGAAGCCACCUUUAAUAUGGCUUCAUAUUUCCAACUUGUAACUCACUGAGGCAAGCAUAUGGUCUUGGAUUUGAGACUGAUGGAUUCAUCAGGGCUGUUUGUUUUGUAGCCCUAAACAAAGAACAAAUUAAGAGGUUCAUUAAAUGUUUCUUGUGUCACCACAACAUGGAAACCUGCAUUAGGCCUGUUAGAUUCUGAAUUCCGGAACUAGGGCUAUAAAGAGGCCAAAAAGAAAGUUGACCUGCUACAUAGAAAUAUUAUAAUUCAAGGUAUAACAAUCAUCUACAUUUUUGGAACCUUUUUAUUUCUUAUUUGCAAUAUUUGGCCAAUACUAGAUGUGAUCUAGCUUAGCAAGACCUACAAGUGUAUCAUAUAGACUCUAUUUAGAAAAAGGAAGCCCAAUGUACUGAGUGGGGCCUGGGACUAACCCUACCAUUUGCAAAAGCGGGUGGCUUGCCUUUCUGCCUGCCAGCUAAUCUGGUACCAUUGGGUACAGCGGCAAGUACAGUUUUCUCACUAGAGUCAUGAUUCAACUGACAAGCUAGUGUGUUUUGCAGGAAAGGUGCAGGGAUACCAUCUUGAUCUUACUGUGGACAGCAAAAUAUUUUAGGCCAGACUUGAUGGGUUUUACUGGCAAGUUAGCAAUAAUAGAACUGAGACAACUGCCAGUGCCUGGAAAUAAGUUCUGAUUGAAUGGAAGUAAACUUGAUAGAGUGCUAUUAUCUCAGCUCAAUUGGUGUCUUAAAUACAUUGACAGUUUGUGUAAGUGGGCUGGAAUGUUUCACUUUCCAGAGUUAUAACACAAAGUAGCUGUAAAUGAGUGGUUGUUGUAAGUGCAGUUGAGUUUUUCCUGCUCUUGGAACAAAUUGUUUCCAUGUUUGUUUGCCUUCUAUGGGGGUCCAGUGGGGUUCAACUGCACAUGUAGUCUGCUGGAUCACACGAAAAUGUGAUUUUUUCCUUCCCCUGCAUAACUGGAACCUCUUCAUUUGUUGUCUGCUUUUUACAUUUGUGUCUGCUUUGUUUUCCCCUUGCAUUUCCACCACUCAUGUAAGAUAAAAAAGAGAGAAAGAUCUAAACAUAAGUAAUAUGAAUUACUUCACCAGAAAGAAAUGGAGACGGCGGAGGGGGUGGGGGAAAGGACCAAAUGUUCAUUGUGAAUGAUUAAAACAGCACGCGACCAUGAUGCUUUGAAACCCAACAACAUUUUGCACAGUGUGUGCAUAUGGUUUAUUAGGUGAAAUUCAGUAAGGUGAGUGUUCUAUAGCACUUUUCUAGUCUGUUUUUCCAGCUGGAUAAUCUAUCACAUUCAGAUUUUCCCAUUUCAGCCAGUGCUUGUUAUAACUUCUCAUUUCAUGUCCAAGUGUUAAGAUGAUGGACAGCCUUUGCUGAUUCAAAUUUAUCUAUGCUUUAAGGAGACGAAAAAAUGUUGGCUAUUAACUUGCUGAAGCCCAGUACCUUGCCCUCAGUAAUGUGCUUCCCUUGCUGGUUUUGGCAUUUUACCCAGUUCCCUGUGUGAAUUAAAGUAUACUGUUUUAAAGAGAAAUGUAAUUUAUCAAAUGUUACACUGCAAGAUGACAAAUGCUCUUCAGUGGCCAUAUAGUCAUAUGAACUCAGUUUUCCAAGUAGGGAUCAGUAUGAAACCAGAACGGCUCUAAUCAUAUACAAGGGGGACAUAUCAGGAGGUUCAGGAAAGCCCGAGAUUUGCAGAAGUCAGUGUGUGUGUGUGUGUGUGUGUGUGUGUGUGUGUGUGUGUGUGUAAGCAAACGCUUUAAUAGGGAAAAGAAAAAUUCAAAAUCUCUAAUGUCAUUUCUGACUAAUGCUUGCACUCAAAGUUUAAUUUUAUAAUGUUCAUUAAAUAGACUGCAUAUAACACUUCUUGGUGGUUUUUGAGAAGACAGUUCAGUAUACAUAGCUAACUUUUUUGAAAACAAUACUAGUGAGCCUCUUACAGAAAGGUUAGUACUCUUCCUGUUUAUACAAUGGCUGGUAUGUUAAUUGUAAUCACUAGACCAAGCUUUCAUAAAUGCAUGCAUUGGCUUGUAUAUGUUCCUCUAUACAAAGUCCCAGAAUACUUGUAAAGUAUCUAUACAAACAAACGAUAGUCUAUGUACAAAGAAAAUGUGUCCAAAUGACAUAUAUUGUUACAGUUCCCCGUACAAAGCUCAAUUUGGCCGUACCCGACAAAAUGAAAAGGAGCAACAGCUCUAACACAAAAGUUAUUCAAGUCUGGUAUUGGUUCCAAUGUAUAUAGGCUUCAGGGAUACAGUCAAUGAAAAUAUCUUCCAAACAGAUGGUUGGUCAUAUUGUUGUAUACUGGAAUGAAGAAAAUAAUGAUGGAGCACCGGUCUCAAAAAAGUCUUCGAAAGUGAAGUCCAAAUAAAGUCCCAAGUCUACAGGGGUCCCGGGUAUUUUUGACCCUGUUUCAGGGAGAAAAUCCCCUUCUUCAGGAGUUGUUAAACUCAGCAACAAUGAAUUUCUAUCUAAAACAAAACAUAGAGUAACAAGUAUUUUACCAGCAGUACUGGUAAGACUGUGUAGUCUUCCUCAGGUGGUGGUUAUGCAGGUAUAGAAAACCUGGAGUAAUCAAUUUUGUUCUUUGAGUAUAUAAAUUCAAUGUGUCAUUAUCAAUGACGGAGUGGACCUACAGGGAAUACAUAUGAGUGCAAACACUUGUACAUGAUAAAAAAUUACAAAUUACAAAAAAUAGUAACAGCAUUGAAGACAGGAGCAUAUAUACUCACAUAAACUCUCCUACAUGUAGGUGUUCCAUACCUGCAUAACCACCACCUGAGGAAGACUACACAGUCGAAACCGGUCGUGGAUGGUGACCAACCUUGGACUUGUUUAAAACAUCAGAUUUCAUAAAAGGACUCACAAUUAAGAGAUUUAUACAGUCCUCCAUGUGGAACAUGAACUAUGGUGGGCAUUGGACUCACAAACUCUGAAUAUAGAGUUUUACUGUCUCUGAAUAUAGAGUUUUACUUUCUAUGAAUGUAUAUGUGUUGGUAACACAUGGAUUAUAUUUUGGUUUAAUUACUGUUUCGGAGAGAUAUGUAGCCAUUAUCAAUGACUGAUUGUCAUUUUGUGCAAUGAAGUCCAAAAUUGCAUUGAUUCCAGUGCCAUGUUGUUAAUUCUCAUGGAAUUUUGUGGCUUAUAUUGGUAACUUUCUCCCACUGAAAUCAAUAGGAUCUUGUAUGGGCUGGCCUGUGGCCCUAGAAAUAUUUUAACCUUUUUAAAAUAAUCUUUGUAUAUAGCCUCACUCACCAUCAAUUAUUAGAUGGAAAAUGCAGUUUAGCAGAAAUAAAUGUGCACAGAGAGACCAGAGCUGAGAAAUGCCGAGAAUCAUACACUAGCAUACAGAGUGGAAGAGGCCUUGCUGGAUUGGGAAAUAGAAAAAGAGCAAAUUAAUUCUUUUAAUAUAUUUUAAAAGGCUUUGAUGUUAUUGUGCAUGGAAAGAGGGCCUGUUUUCCCCAUGGGCUUCAGAUAGUUGCCUGCCACAGGGGUGGAGUGGGUGAUAAGUUCUAAAAACCUAGUUAAAACCUCCCCCUCCUUCUUCCUCUUCUUAAGAUAUUUCUUGGCUUCAUAAACAUUUCUAGCUUCUUCUGUUAUGCAUGUUUUUCCUCAGCGCCUAUAGAUAAGAGCAAAUUGAAUAGCAGUGAUUGUGCAAAGCUCUCUGUUUUAUGUUGCAAAGGAAGUUUUCAGUGCAUCUUUGAAAAUUCCCUUCGGUGACAAUACGCAGUCAGCAUAUAUCCUUGUGAAAAAAAAAAACCCUGAAAAAGAUGAAGGUAUUACCCAAUCUGAUCUGUCUAAAUACACCAUCAGAACUGAAAAAAUAAUUUUCUAUAAAUAAUGUAUUUUUAAGUCAUCACAUUUUAUUUCUUUCCUAGAUUUUUUUUGGUAAUGGAUUUAAACAAAGUAAAAAAAAUGUCGCAAUUGAAAAACUUUCUUGCUGUAGGUUGUCAAAACUUUUAAACAUUUGUAACCUUGCUUUCUUUUUUUGGAAAGUUUUUUUAAAUGUUUCUAAUGUUUAAAGGUAAUUGCUACCACCUUUUAAAAAAUCUAACAGCUUCUUGCUGUGGCAUUAUAUUCAAAACUGGCAUAAAUGGUUAUUUAAUCCAAUUUUAAAAUGCAAACUAUAAUAAUUAUUUAUUCCAUAUUGUGGGUGCCCCCCACAAGACAUAAAUAACGUUAUAAAACUACAGUUAUUUCCAAUCUUUUUUUUUUUUUGACCAGGGACCGCUCUCCAACAUUAGGACCAAAAGGGUUAUGAAUCAGUUUUGGGUCAACUUUAGAUUCAGUUUGGUUAUUUGGGGUGCUGAUUCAGAAAAUUGCAUUGGAUAGAUCACAUCAGCUCUAGUUUCUGAUACAGAAAAUAUGCCAUCCAGCAGUUGCCAUCUGCUCGCUCACAGAAAACUAUAUUUAAUAAUCUAGAACUGAUGUGGUCUAUUCAAUGCAAUUUUCUGAAUCAGCAUCCCAAAUAACUCCAGGAAAGGCCUAAAAUCGAAGACACCCCUGCUUCCAGGUGCCACAUGGAAUGGCUCCACUCAGGAGGAGGGAGGAGGAUGAGAAGCAGUAGUCAGGAGGCUUGUUGGCACAUCUUUGUGGGUAGUCAGCUUCUUCCCUCCCAACAUCCCUGUUGCCUUGGCACUAUAAGAGGGUUUCAUGAGACCAGUUGCUCUCAUUGCAACGGUGUAGUAAGGGUGAGGCAGUGGACCAUAUUUUCGUUCUUGGGGACCACUGGUGGUCCAUGGACCACAAGUUGGGAACUAUUGAUUUUAUAUGUCCUGGCUCAAUGCUGUGGAAUUAUGGAACCUGUAGUUUUACAAGAUCUUUAGCCUCCUAUGCUAAAGAGUGCUGGUGCCUCACCAAACUACAGCUUCCGUUAUUCUAUAGCAUUGAGCCAUGGCAAUUAAAGUGGUGUCAAACUACUUCAAUUUUGUAGUGCGGAUUUACUCAUUCCUGUUUUUUGUUUCAACUUACAGUACACUGAAUUGGUUUAAGAUCCUGACUUACCAUUCAACAUUCAGUACAAUGGGUCUCCCAUACUGGGAACUAACAGAUCCAAGCCAUAAUCAAGAUAUAUCUCCAUUAAGAAGAAAUUGUAUGAAUAAUAAUUGUCUUAAGGUCAGCAUUAAUAAAUCAGCCAACCACUACCCAUUAAAUUUCUAGCAGUAUAGAAAUGUCUUAAGCUGGCACCAAAAAUUGAUAAUGUAAAGCUCAGACAGUCUCCCCAGGGAGAACAUUUCUGAGAAGUGUAAGACACAACUGAAAACCAAUGAUACAGUUUAUCCUGAUUUUACAAAGGAACUGUUUCAAAGAAAGAUCCUAAACCAGGGGUGCAGAAUCUUCUCAACCAAGGGUGCAGAUUCUUCCCAUUUGGGAAGUAUCCUGAGGAGGUUGUCACAGUCCUUCAGAGGUGGGGGUAGAGAAACAGAGGUGGCACCAAGCAUAGCAUUGGUGGAAACAAUGAAAAUAGGUAGCGCCAUAAACUUAAAUACCCAGAAGAAAUUUCAUGUCAACAUAUCAAUAGCAAGGUAUUUGAAUAUAAAAUUUUUAAGUCUCCUAUUGAUGUACACAAACUAAGCCAUGGAGUAGAUAUAUCUCUCCAGUAACAUACCAGCCACCAACUUCCAUGCUUAUCAGUACCUUCUGCAAAAGAAAACCACCUUCUUCUUGGGGUUUUCUUAGGCAAGGAAUACUCAAGAGAUUGUGGUCUUCUGUAAAGGAGGUAAAAGAAGGUCGAAAGCCCUGAAACUUAUCUCCAAAACAGAUUCAUCAUCUGAGACUCCUUCUACCCUGCCAUAUAAUCCAGAUCAUCAAAGCAGACAAUCCACAUUAUCUGCUUUGAACUGGAUUAUAUGAGUCUACGCUGCCAUAUAAUCCAGUUCAAAGCAGAUAAUAUGGAUUUUAUAUGGCCGUGUAGAAGAGACCUUGAAUAUUUACAUUAGAGUUAAAAGGCACCCCAAGAACGGAUUUAUCUAUUGUAGCCAAACCUCCAUCUGAGCUAUCAGGUGAGCCUGAGGUUGGGCCUGUUCAGCCUGUGAGUGUCCCUGCACCUGCCUUGUCAGAAGACUCUGGGUUUGGGCCUGAGAUGCAGCCAGAGUUUAUCCCAGUAGAUUCUGGGACCAGAGACAUAAUGGUUUCAAGCAGGCAGCUUGAACCGCAUUCCUCAAAGGAGUCAAAAUUGGAUCUCCUGGUGCCAGAUGGACAUUCUAGUUCAGAUUCUGAAAGUGAUAAGGCAGGUAGCGCUAAUGAGCUUGACAGAAGGACGGCGAUAACUCAGCAGAAGAAAGAAAGGGAGUGUGUCAGAAGAAGUAAACGAUUGCUUUUGAAACAAAAUAAUGUGUAGAUUUCUCAUGGGAAGAGACCUUGAGUUUCCCUUAAGAAGGACUGCCUUCUCUGACAGAGUCAGAGGUGGUAACUUUGCUUAUCCAAGAGAAGAAGAUCUCCACUUUGUGCUCCUGUGAAUUCCAUGUUAUUUCCGGCAACUUUGUAUCUUGAUUCCAGUGCCAGCUUUGUUCUUGUUUCUGGGGAUUUCUGUGUAUCUAGUUGAAUGUUCCAGUAACCUUGCAGUUUGGAUUUCUGCUCCAGCCAAGACCCUUGCCUUGUGUUCCAGCAUUAACCUUGUGCCUUGAACUAAACUUGGAGAUUUGUUCCUGCGUUCCAGCUUUGGCUUCCUGUGUUCCAGUUUGACUCAUGCCUUGGAUUAAUCCUUGAUAUCUUGUUUGGACCAUUCUUGAUACCUUUCUUGGGAUUGACUUUGAUAUCCACUUUGGACUAUGUUCUUUGAGUGACUGUUAUGGACUCUUUCUUCAAGAUUUUCAAAUACUUUGUUCUUGUGGAUUUAAACAUAUUCUAUUGACUUUGAACUUUGAUUUGCUUUUGCUUGUAUAUAAUCUUCAAUAAACAGCUGGCUUGAUUAUA